rnacentral:rRNA from 1 species
UACGUAGGGGGCAAGCGUUGUCCGGAUUUAUUGGGCGUAAAGAGCGUGUAGGCGGCCAGACAGGUCCGUUGUGAAAACUGGAGGCUUAACCUUCAGACGUCGAUGGAAACCGUCGGGCUAGAGUCCGGAAGAGGAGAGUGGAAUUCUCGGUGUAGCAGUGAAAUGCGUAGAUAUCGAGAGGAACACCAGUGGCGAAGGCGAGUCCCUGGACAACACCUGACACUGAGGCACGAAAGCUAGGGGAGCAAACAGG